rnacentral:lncRNA from 1 species
GAGCCGGGGAGCACGGCAUCAGGUCGUGUCCAGCGCCAGAAUGCAGAAGGGUGCUAACCGUUCCAUUAUCUGCUCCGAAUUAGGUCUGCCACUAUAGAUUUUCUUCACUCUUAGGAAUAAGCAGUUCUUCAGACUCAAGUGCCUGAAAGUAUAGGAUGACAGCAAUUCUGCCAAUGGGAAAGAAGAGCUGAAUGAGUUCUUUAUUUUCCACUUCGAGAUUUGAAUCCUGUAAGCCAGUAAUUUUUAAACAGUUGAAGAAACAAGAUGGGAAGACUGGAAAAAUAGAUGUCAUUGUAUGUGGCAAAUAAGAAUGCUGUGCCAUUCAAGAAAAAUGUCAGUUCAGAAACUUCCCAAUCUGAUGUGAUUUCUUUGUAUGAGAGUAGCAC